rnacentral:rRNA from 1 species
GGCGGCGCGUGCUUACCAUGCAGUCGAACGAUGAACCACUUCGGUGGGGAUUAGUGGCGAACGGGUGAGUAACACGUGGGCAAUCUGCCCUUCACUCUGGGACAAGCCCUGGAAACGGGGUCUAAUACCGGAUAACACCUGCCCUCUCCUGAGGGAAGGUUAAAAGCUCCGGCGGUGAAGGAUGAGCCCGCGGCCUAUCAGCUUGUUGGUGAGGUAAUGGCUCACCAAGGCGACGACGGGUAGCCGGCCUGAGAGGGCGACCGGCCACACUGGGACUGAGACACGGCCCAGACUCCUACGGGAGGCAGCAGUGGGGAAUAUUGCACAAUGGGCGAAAGCCUGAUGCAGCGACGCCGCGUGAGGGAUGACGGCCUUCGGGUUGUAAACCUCUUUCAGCAGGGAAGAAGCGAAAGUGACGGUACCUGCAGAAGAAGCGCCGGCUAACUACGUGCCAGCAGCCGCGGUAAUACGUAGGGCGCAAGCGUUGUCCGGAAUUAUUGGGCGUAAAGAGCUCGUAGGCGGCUUGUCACGUCGGGUGUGAAAGCCCGGGGCUUAACCCCGGGUCUGCAUUCGAUACGGGCUAGCUAGAGUGUGGUAGGGGAGAUCGGAAUUCCUGGUGUAGCGGUGAAAUGCGCAGAUAUCAGGAGGAACACCGGUGGCGAAGGCGGAUCUCUGGGCCAUUACUGACGCUGAGGAGCGAAAGCGUGGGGAGCGAACAGGAUUAGAUACCCUGGUAGUCCACGCCGUAAACGGUGGGAACUAGGUGUUGGCGACAUUCCACGUCGUCGGUGCCGCAGCUAACGCAUUAAGUUCCCCGCCUGGGGAGUACGGCCGCAAGGCUAAAACUCAAAGGAAUUGACGGGGCCCGCACAAGCAGCGGAGCAUGUGGCUUAAUUCGACGCAACGCGAAGAACCUUACCAAGGCUUGACAUACACCGGAAAGCAUCAGAGAUGGUGCCCCCCUUGUGGUCGUGUACAGU